UACUCCUACGGGAGGCAGCAGUGAGGAAUAUUGGUCAAUGGGCGGAAGCCUGAACCAGCCAAGUAGCGUGCAGGAGGACGGCCCUACGGGUUGUAAACUGCUUUUAUGCGGGGAUAAAGUGAGGGACGCGUCCCUUUUUGCAGGUACCGCAUGAAUAAGGACCGGCUAAUUCCGUGCCAGCAGCCGCGGUAAUACGGAAGGUCCGGGCGUUAUCCGGAUUUAUUGGGUUUAAAGGGAGCGUAGGCCGGGGAUUAAGUGUGUUGUGAAAUGUAGGCGCCCAACGUCUGACUUGCAGCGCAUACUGGUUCCCUUGAGUACGCGCAACGCCGGCGGAAUUCGUCGUGUAGCGGUGAAAUGCUUAGAUAUGACGAAGAACCCCGAUUGCGAAGGCAGCCGGCGGGAGCGCAACUGACGCUGAAGCUCGAAGGUGCGGGUAUCGAACAGGAUUAGAUACCCUGGUAGUCCGCACGGUAAACGAUGGAUGCCCGCUGUCGGCGCCUUGCGCCGGCGGCCAAGCGAAAGCGUUAAGCAUCCCACCUGGGGAGUACGCCGGCAACGGUGAAACUCAAAGGAAUUGACGG
rnacentral:rRNA from 1 species